rnacentral:rRNA from 1 species
AGAGUUUGAUCAUGGCUCAGGACGAACGCUGGCGGCGUGCCUAAUACAUGCAAGUCGAGCGAACAGAAGGGAGCUUGCUCCCGGAUGUUAGCGGCGGACGGGUGAGUAACACGUGGGUAACCUGCCUGUAAGACUGGGAUAACUCCGGGAAACCGGAGCUAAUACCGGAUAGUUCCUUGAACCGCAUGGUUCAAGGAUGAAAGACGGUUUCGGCUGUCACUUACAGAUGGACCCGCGGCGCAUUAGCUAGUUGGUAGGGUAAUGGCUCACCAAGGCGACGAUGCGUAGCCGACCUGAGAGGGUGAUCGGCCACACUGGGACUGAGACACGGCCCAGACUCCUACGGGAGGCAGCAGUAGGGAAUCUUCCGCAAUGGACGAAAGUCUGACGGAGCAACGCCGCGUGAGUGAUGAAGGUUUUCGGAUCGUAAAGCUCUGUUGUUAGGGAAGAACAAGUGCGAGAGUAACUGCUCGCACCUUGACGGUACCUAACCAGAAAGCCACGGCUAACUACGUGCCAGCAGCCGCGGUAAUACGUAGGUGGCAAGCGUUGUCCGGAAUUAUUGGGCGUAAAGGGCUCGCAGGCGGUUUCUUAAGUCUGAUGUGAAAGCCCCCGGCUCAACCGGGGAGGGUCAUUGGAAACUGGGAAACUUGAGUGCAGAAGAGGAGAGUGGAAUUCCACGUGUAGCGGUGAAAUGCGUAGAGAUGUGGAGGAACACCAGUGGCGAAGGCGACUCUCUGGUCUGUAACUGACGCUGAGGAGCGAAAGCGUGGGGAGCGAACAGGAUUAGAUACCCUGGUAGUCCACGCCGUAAACGAUGAGUGCUAAGUGUUAGGGGGUUUCCGCCCCUUAGUGCUGCAGCUAACGCAUUAAGCACUCCGCCUGGGGAGUACGGUCGCAAGACUGAAACUCAAAUGAAUUGACGG